UACGGGGGGAGCAAGCGUUGUUCGGAUUUACUGGGCGUAAAGGACGCGUAGGCGGUCGUGACAAGUCACUUGUGAAAUCUCCGGGCUUAACUCGGAACGGUCAAGUGAUACUGUCGGACUAGAGUACAGAAGGGGCAACUGGAAUUCUCGGUGUAGCGGUGAAAUGCGUAGAUAUCGAGAGGAACACCUGCGGCGAAGGCGGGUUGCUGGGCUGAUACUGACGCUGAGGCGCGAAAGCCAGGGGAGCGAACGGG
rnacentral:rRNA from 1 species